GAUGAAGAACGUAGCGAAAUGCGAUAAGUAAUGUGAAUUGCAGAAUUCAGUGAAUCAUCGAAUCUUUGAACGCACAUUGCGCCCGCCAGUAUUCUGGCGGGCAUGCCUGUUCGAGCGUCAUUUCAACCAUCAAGCCCCCGGGCUUGUGUUGGGGUCCUGCGGCUGCCGCAGGCCCUGAAAAGCAGUGGCGGGCUCGCUGUCACACCGAGCGUAGUAGAUUUUAUCUCGCUCAGGGCGUGCUGCGGGUUCCGGCCGUUAAACCACCUUCAUAACCCAAGGUUGACCUCGGAUCAGGUAGGAAGACCCGCUGAACUUAAGCAUAUCAAUAAGCGAGGA
rnacentral:misc_RNA from 1 species